CCGGAACAAAAUGUUCGAGCUGACAUGGGCUCCUUUGGAGUAAUUGGAAAUCUCGCGAUUCAACCAAUUUGUAUCUUGCCUGGUGGUUAGAAAAGCAAAGUUGCAUUUGGCAAGAUAACUUUCAAGAAACCUCACAUAGUUUUGCUUGACGACCCAUCCUAUCAUCUGGAUUUGGAUGUGGCUGAGGCGCCCAUUCAAGGUUUGGUCUUGUUCCAAGGAUUAAUUCUGAUGGUUAGUCACGAUGAGCAUCCAAUAGCUAGAAGCUUGGAUGAGGUCUGGGUGGUUUCACAAGGCAAGGUGGCACCUCUCCAUGGGAAUUUCCAGGACUAUAGGAAUGUACUCUUGUUUUUAUUGAAUCAGGUGAAUCUAGUUAUUGCCAUCAACUAAGAGUGGUUCAUUGGGUUCUCAUUAUCUCACAGAACAGAAAAUGAGGCUUAGCUACAUAGAGAAAGCAAAAAAGGAUGAAGAGAGGAUUGCUACUGAUAUACAGGAUGGACUCACAGUUACACUAGUCCUCAUUUGUCAUUUAUACUUGAUAAGGGCUCGUGGAAUGAUGAUGAGUCUAAGUUUUUGAAAUCGAGCAUACAAUAUCAUUUGCAAUAGCUUAAGAACUGAGUUGGGAUUGCAAUCCUGGUAUAAUUUAUGAUUCUUUGCAUAUUUUGUUCUAGCAAUAGGUUCAUUUGUUGUGCCCCUGGGAAUUUGAUACUCUAUCGCCGCCGAAGUCAGUUUUCUCAUGCACGCUAAAAUGAUUUAAUCAUUUGCAAAAGAAUAUUUUAGCACAGUAAAUUAUUUUGUAAGACAUUCUAUUUUGUGAGAAAACUAUAUUAAUAUAUUUUCCCCAUUUUCACUAUUUGGCACUAUUUUGGAGAAUUAAUUAUGAAAAUAUUAUCAUGCUAAAAAAAAACCCAUUCUUAGGAAGUAGGCGAGCUCUACCACUAAAAGUCGAAGACUGACAAUUGAGCGGGAUUUCUCGUUGGGUUGGAUCGGGUCUGUUUCGUUGGACAAUAAACUGUAGGUCGAAAUUCACUUAGUGCUGCCUCUUGCUAUAUUGAUGGCAUAUGUUCAACUCUGCGUUUCUUGUAUGUUCUCUUCCCACCAUCUUUUUCUUGUGUCCUAGCUCAUUCAUUGUUUUUUUUAAUGGUUUUCUUUAGAAUCGAAAACCUUUUUUAUUUAUUUAUUGAUGAUGAUCCUUUGUAGUAUUAAGCAAUCUAUUUGGGACAUAAUUCUGGGGCAGCUCAUUGCUCCAAGCUUUUAAUACAACCCCAUCAUGAUGGCAUUGAUAUUCCAUAGAUCACCAUUCUAUUUGUGUUUAUAGCUUGCUAGAAAUUUUUAGCCUAUAUACUCGUGCUUAUUUGAUUGAGAUUGUAACAAUAUAUUGUCUGCCUUUGUGUUUGCUAUGAGCAGUGACCUCUAGGGCAAAUCUAUUCAGGUCUUUAAAGUAUCGAUUCUUUGCAUUUACUCCACUGCGGAAUAUGAUUUUGUUAUACAUCAUGUCGUUUUAUCUGCAAAUACCUUCUUAUGUGGCAUUCUUCUUGCAAGGAUUUUCGAUCGAAAAGCUUCGAGCUCAUUGUGUUCCUUUGGUAUAAUUGGAAAUCUUGCACUUCAACCAAUGUAUACCUUUUAUGAUACAUUGCCUCCCUCUCCGCUACGUUUGCAUAUGUAAAUUUUUUUUGAAGCAAUUGUUGUAUGACAUUGUGAAGCCCUAAUAGAGGUGCUCAAAAAAGCAGAGUUGCAUUUGCCAAGAUAACUUUGAAAAAACCUCACCGAGUUUUGCUUGAUGAGCCAUCCAAUUAUCCGUUUCUUGUCCAAGGAUGAGUGAGUGCGACUCUGCUGUUUGCCUAUCCACAACUGGAGGAUUUGGAUGUGGCUGAGGUGCUCAUUCAAGGUAUGGUCUUGUUCCGAGGAGCAAUUGAGAUGCUUAGUCAUGAUGAGCAUCUAAUAGCUGGAAGCUCAGAUGAGGUCUGGGUCAUUCCACAAGGCAAGGUGGCGCCUAUCCAUGGGAAUUUUCAGGACUAUGAAAAGAUGGACAAACGGAACUGAUAGCAGAGGUUUGAGUAAGCGAAUGUGACAGCUAAUUUCUGACUGACCCCUGCAGGUCAAAACAUGAUGGGGAAAGGGAGGGAGGAUCAACAGCCGUGGCUACCCUCUGGAUGUUUCUUUGAGGACUUGCGUCUGCUAUGAGAUAUUCGGAUUCCGAGGAGAUCGUCACUUAGCACCACUCAUGUUUAACUCCUUGAAGUGGGCAAGCCCCACCACAUUUACCCCCAUCGAGGUGCUGAAGGUCCAGAACCAUUCACUCGUGACAAGAUACACGCACUACCAUUGCAAAUGGUUUCAAUCUCGUGAAUUCACAUGUUGAAGAUAUACCUUGAAUUCAGGCAAAUGAAGGGAAUUUGAUCCUAAAAGGAAAUGUGCUGCUAUGGCUUCCAUGAUAUACAAUAUUGAGGAAUACUGUUACAUGAGUUCUAUUAUUGGACACUUCUGUUACAUUAUAAAGUUAUUGCCUGCUAUAUGAGGUUUUUGCCAUG